rnacentral:lncRNA from 1 species
CCCGGCCCCUGUGCCUUGGGCAGCCUGGCCCCUUGCUGAGGCGUGCUUGCGCGUGUCCGUUGUCGCCCUCACCCAGCUGCUGCGGCGGAGAAACGGAGGCCAGCGCGGGGAGCGGAAGCCGGAGCCUGUCGGGAGCGACCCCGGGAAGGCCAGUCCCUCCUGCCGGAGGGAGGCGUGUUGGCGUGCGGCCGGUGGCGGGAUCGAUGGCCACCUGGUAGGCGAUGCUGCUGCGGCGGAGAGACGGAGGCCAGCGCGGGGAGCGGAAGCCGGAGCCUGUCGGGAGCGACCCCGGGAAGGCCAGUCCCUCCUGCCGGUGGGAGGCGUGUUGGCGUGCGGCCGGUGGCGGGAUCGAUGGCCACCUGGUAGGCGAUGGUAAGCGGCAGUGGCCUGCGCCAAGGUAGCCCCCGGGGGGCGGUGUGUGGCGCCCGGACCCGCACCCUCUGCUCCCGGGGGUGGAGCUGACCUGCUUGCCCGCGGUUGGGCUCGGGAGCCUGCGGGCCGCGGCCAGGAGGGAGCUGGCUGGCCGUCCCGGCGGUGGGGGCUGUGGCGGUGGCCGUCCCGCGGGUGUGCCCGUGCUCGGAUCGAUGAUGACACCCACAAACGCAUU